rnacentral:tRNA from 1 species
GUUGUGGCUCAACGGUAGAGCACUUGCCUAGCAAGUAUGAGGCCCUGAGUUCAAUCCUCAGUACGACA